UACGUAGGGGGCAAGCGUUUGUCCGGAUUUAUUGGGCGUAAAGAGCGUGUAGGCGGCCAGGUAGGUCAGCUGUGAAAACUCGAGGCUCAACCUCGAGACGUCGGUUGAAACCACCUGGCUAGAGUCCGGAAGAGGAGAGUGGAAUUCCUGGUGUAGCGGUGAAAUGCGCAGAUAUCAGGAAGAACACCAGUGGCGAAGGCGCCUUCCUGGCCUGUAACUGACGCUGAUGUGCGAAAGCGUGGGGAGCAAACCGG
rnacentral:rRNA from 1 species